UUAGGUUUACCAGCAAGGACAGGCAUGUACUCUCCCCAGUGCUCUCUCCCAUGCCCUUGCCAGCUGCUCCGCUAUGCAGUGAGUCCUGGAUGUCAAGGUCAAGACAGAGAAAUCCGUGCCCACUCCCCACGGGGACGAAACGCGGAUCCGCCCCACGCUGCCUGCAGUCGCCGGGCCCCACGACCCUGGGCGGGCUGCCUGACCCCUCAGCCACGGCCUCACACGCGGCGAUGGGAGCCGGGGACCCGCAACCCUGGGAGGGAGCCUCCCGCCAGCUUCUACCUGUCGAGACAGUCCGGACGCUGCAGGCGCGGCCAUCUUUUCCCGGGCGGCUGUAGGUCAAACCCAAAUGAAAAGAGACUACUGGCGCCAGAGCGCACGCGCGCGCGCCAGCGUGAUCGCUCGGCUUUCUGGGAAAUGUACGCGUCAGGAGCCCGGGAGUGUGGGUAAGAACCUCUUGCAUGCUGGGAGUUGUAGUCCGUACCUGCCGCGGUCCGGCUGGACUCGCUGAACAACUGGAGCGGGGUUACCCCCAAAGCUGCUGCCUGUCUGUCCGUGGGAUGUGGUCUUCUGGCUGGGCUGCCUUGUCUGGCCUCAGUGGAAGAAGAUGCUCUUAGCCCUGCAAAGACUUGAUGUGUCAAGGAUACUGUAGACUAGACUAUUCAUAAAGAGAAGACUUUUUUGGUUCACCGUUCUGGAGCCUGCAAGGUCCUCAGUUGCUUCUGGGGAGUAUCAAGUGCUUGUGAACCUCACACAGAAUGUGGGAAGCCCUGCCUACUGUGAGCAUCACUAUUCCCUUGGCAGGGAUCCUGAACUGUGUGAGAACAGAGAGACCCAGCUGGGCGCUCCCAUGCAGGCCCCGACUCCCCGUUCUCUCUGCUCUUGACUGUAGGCGUAACCAGCUGCUUCAGGCUCCUGCCUUGACUUCCCUGAAGUGAUAGACUGCAACCUGGGAUUGUGAGCUAAGUAAACCCUUCUCUUAGUAAGGAGACUCUUGUCAUGAGCCUGUUCCUGACUCUCCACCAGGCAUGGAGUUAGCCUGAUCCCUGAUCCCCGAUCCCCGGCUUUUGCUGCAUUUCCGGCAUACAGCGUGCACUGAGCUGAUGACAUAUCUGAUGUGGUUCAAGGCUCCCGAGAGAGCUAAAAGGUACCUGAGUCUGAGGAGCCCUCAAUGGGGAAUAGCAAGCCAGACAGCUUGCUAAUGGACAGACAGAAUGAGACACCUGGCUGGCCCUUCAAAUGGGCAGAAGUUUCUUACCUUCCCAUACUUAAUGCCAGGAUUAGAAUCCAGGCCCAGAGACCAGCCCACCUCUGUCCAAUGGGACCCAAUCUCUCGGCAGCAAUUCUGGCUCUCGGUUUUUAAUCUUAGAUUCCAGUUUUCUUUGUUCCUUAAUUUUCCCUGUGGGAUGUUUUUUUUUUUUUUCCCAUAGAGCUUUGUGUGGUUCUGUUAUGGAGCAUAGAAGGAGGGCUGAUUUCUCUGUUGGGAGGUGAGGGGAGCACUCUGUCACUCUGAUGGAAUGGAUUGGAAGUGGGUGGAUGCUGGCCAACCUGUGUCCUGCUAAGAUGCAGCCUAGGGGAAUGUCCGUCCCUCACCCCCAGCUGCCUUCGCUCUGCUGGCUGCUGGUCACGUGUCCCUGUUUACCUGCACAGGCAGUCAUUAUUCACCCCUUCCCACGUACCCCCACACUUGCACACAAAGCCAGAGAGUGGCUUACAUUUUCUUUUCUUUCUUUCUUUUAUUUUUUUUUAUUUUUAUUUUUUUUUUUUAAAAGAACCUUCCCCAAACCCAUUCUAAAAUGUCAAGUGUUUCAGUUUGAGGAAAAAAAAAGCUGAAAAAACCGUGACUCAUGACAAGGCUGACAAACAGCUCUGAGGGUAUGCUGGUGAGUCACUCUGAGACUGUAGCGGCGAGGGCCAGCGGUGGGGAGAUUGUCAGGAGACCAGCCAGUAAAAUUCCACAACUCUCCCGAGCAGAGUAGGAGGUAAUUCAAAAACCCUGGGAUUUUUCCAGCUCUCAUUUCAUGUAGGACUCAGGCUGCUCUUAGAUAUGUUGAUCUCCUCAGGAAAUCAUCAAGAAUGAUUACCAAAAAUAUAAAACAAAAAAAAAAACCAUCCACAGGCACAGAAUUCAUCAUGGUGGAAGGCAUGGGAACCUGGAAGCAGAGGGUACAUUUCAUUUCUACAAAGGAAGCAGAGAAGUGGGGGAGGGGAGGAACUUGCCUUCCUUAAGAUUAUCUCUUGAUACUUCGUUCUUCAGUGGACUGAGGUCUCUCCUGGAGUAGCCGAUAAGGUUGGUAGAGUUUUUAAGUAGCAGAAAUGAGGACCACUCUUCACAAAAGACAACUAGCUCAUGUACGUCUCUCUACACAUCAGACCAGAGCCCAGGCAUGACCACCUACUGCAGCGCAGUCUGGGAAAUGUAGUCCUCAGCCACCCAGACGGAU
rnacentral:lncRNA from 1 species